rnacentral:rRNA from 1 species
UCUUAGUGGCGGACGGGUGAGUAACGCGUGGGUAACCUGCCAUAUACAGGGGGGAUAACACUUAGAAAUAGGUGCUAAUACCGCAUAAGCGCACAGUUUCGCAUGAAACAGUGUGAAAAACUCCGGUGGUAUAUGAUGGACCCGCGUCUGAUUAGCUAGUUGGUAAGGUAACGGGCUUACCCAAGGCGACGAUCAGUAGCCGGCCUGAGAGGGUGAACGGCCACAUUGGGACUGAGACACGGCCCAAAACUCCUACGGGAGGCAGCAGUGGGGAAUAUUGCACAAUGGGGGAAACCCCUGAUGCAGCGACGCCGCGUGAGUGAAGAAGUAUUUCGGUAUGUAAAGCUCUAUCAGCAGGGAAGAAAAUGACGGUACCUGACUAAGAAGCCCCGGCUAACUACGUG